GGGGCAGUAGCUCAGUCGGCAGAGCUACGGACUCUUAAUCCGCAGGUCGCAGGUUCGAUCCCUGCCUGCCCCACUC
rnacentral:tRNA from 1 species